AAUAGAUACCCCGGUAGUCCACGCCGUAAACGAUGAGUGCUAAGUGUUAGAGGGUUUCCGCCCUUUAGUGCUGCAGCUAACGCAUUAAGCACUCCGCCUGGGGAGUACGGUCGCAAGACUGAAACUCAAAGGAAUUGACGGGGGCCCGCACAAGCGGUGGAGCAUGUGGUUUAAUUCGAAGCAACGCGAAGAACCUUACCAGGUCUUGACAUCCUCUGACAACUCUAGAGAUAGAGCGUUCCCCUUCGGGGGACAGAGUGACAGGUGGUGCAUGGUUGUCGUCAGCUCGUGUCGUGAGAUGUUGGGUUAAGUCCCGCAACGAGCGCAACCCUUGAUCUUAGUUGCCAGCAUUUAGUUGGGCACUCUAAGGUGACUGCCGGUGACAAACCGGAGGAAGGUGGGGAUGACGUCAAAUCAUCAUGCCCCUUAUGACCUGGGCUACACACGUGCUACAGUGGAUGGUACAAAGGGCUGCAAGACCGCGAGGUCAAGCCAAUCCCAUAAAACCAUUCUCAGUUCGGA
rnacentral:rRNA from 1 species